rnacentral:rRNA from 1 species
CGUAAAGCGUUCGUAGGCGGCAUGUCAAGUCUGAUGUUAAGGCCCGGAGCUCAACUCCCGGUUAGGCAUUGGAUACUGGCAAGCUAGAGUACAGAAGAGGCAAGGGGAUUUCCUAGUGUAGCGGUGAAAUGCGUAGAUAUUAGGAGGAACACCGGUUGGCGUAAGCGCCUUGCUGGUCUGUAACUGACGCUGAGGAACGAAAGCCAGGGUAGCAAAUGGGAUUAGAUACCCCAGUAGUCCUGGCCGUAAACGAUGGAUACUAGGUGUUGCAGGUAUCGACCCCUGCAGUGCUGCAGCUAACGCAAUAAGUAUCCCGCCUGGGGAGUACGCACGCAAGUGUGAAACUCAAAGGAAUUGACGGGGACCCGCACAAGCGGUGGAACAUGUGGUUUAAUUCGAAGCAACGCGAAGAACCUUACCAGGGCUUGACAUCCUGAGAACUUUCCAGAGAUGGAUUGGUGCCCUUCGGGGAACUCAGUGACAGGUGGUGCACGGUUGUCGUCAGCUCGUGUCGUGAGAUGUUGGGUUAAGUCCCGCAACGAGCGCAACCCACGUUGUUAGUUGCCUGUAAGAACCUGUUCUUGCAGUGCUCUCUAGCGAGACUGCCGGUUGAUUAACCGGAAGAAAGGUGUGAAGAACGUCAAUUAAUAAGGCCCCUUAUGUCUUGGCUACAACAACGUGUUACAAUGGGUGGACAAACGAGCAGCCAAAUCAGCGAUGAUGAGCAAAUCUCUUAAACCUACUCUCAGUUCGGGAUCGUAGUCUGCAACUCGACUACGUGAAGUCGGAAUCGCUAGUAACCGUAGAUCAGCACGCUGCGGUGAUACGUUCCCGGGUCUGUACACACUGCCCGUCACACCAUGGAAGCUGAUCACGCCCGAAGUCG